rnacentral:rRNA from 1 species
GGUUAAGUUAGAAAGGGCGCACGGUGGAUGCCUUGGCACUAGGAGCCGAAGAAGGACGGGACUAACACCGAUAUGCUUUGGGGAGCUGUACGUAAGCGUUGAUCCAGAGAUUUCCGAAUGGGGGAACCCACUAUCUUUAGUCGGAUAGUAUCCUUACGUGAAUACAUAGCGUGAGGAAGGCAGACCCAGGGAACUGAAACAUCUAAGUACCUGGAGGAAGAGAAAGAAAAAUCGAUUUCCUGAGUAGCGGCGAGCGAAACGGAAAGAGCCCAAACCAAGAAGCUUGCUUCUUGGGGUUGUAGGACACUCUAUACGGAGUUACAAAAGAAAGUUAUAAAUGAAGCGGUCUGGAAAGGCCCGCCAAAGACGGUAACAGCCCGGUAGUUGAAAUGGCUUUCCCUCCAGAGUGGAUCCUGAGUACGGCGGAACACGUGAAAUUCCGUCGGAAUCCGGGAGGACCAUCUCCCAAGGCUAAAUACUCCCUAGUGACCGAUAGUGAACCAGUACCGUGAGGGAAAGGUGAAAAGCACCCCGGAAGGGGAGUGAAACAGUUCCUGAAACCGUGUGCCUACAAGUAGUUAGAGCCCGUUAAUGGGUGAUAGCGUGCCUUUUGUAGAAUGAACCGGCGAGUUACGAUUUGUUGCAAGGUUAAGCGGAAAAAGCGGAGCCGUAGCGAAAGCGAGUCUGAAUAGGGCGCAUAAGUAACAGGUCGUAGACCCGAAACCAGGUGAUCUACCCAUGUCCAGGAUGAAGGUAAGGUAAUACUUACUGGAGGUCCGAACCCACGCACGUUGAAAAGUGCGGGGAUGAGGUGUGGGUAGCGGAGAAAUUCCAAUCGAACUUGGAGAUAGCUGGUUCUCUCCGAAAUAGCUUUAGGGCUAGCCUCGAGGUAAAGAGUCAUGGAGGUAGAGCACUGUUUGGACUAGGGGCCCUUCUCGGGUUACCGAAUUCAGAUAAACUCCGAAUGCCAUGUACUUAUACUCGGGAGUCAGACUGCGAGUGAUAAGAUCCGUA